GAUAAACGCUGGCGGCGUGCAUAAAACAUGCAAGUCGAACGGGUGGUUUCGGCCACCAGUGGCGGACGGCUGAGUAACACGUAAGUGACCUACCCUUUAGUGGGGAAUAACUGCUCGAAAGAGUGGCUAAUACCGCAUGUACUCUUGUUUUCGAUAGUGAGAGCAAAGCCGAGAGGCGCUAGAGGAUGGGCUUGCGGCCGAUUAGCUAGUUGGUGGGGUAAAGGCCUACCAAGGCGAUGAUCGGUAGCUGGUCUGAGAGGAUGAUCAGCCAGACUGGGACUGCGAUACGGCCCAGACUCCUACGGGAGGCAG
rnacentral:rRNA from 1 species